UGGCUAAUGUGUCUUGGCUAAUGUGUCUUGGCUAAUGUGUCUUGGCUAAGGUGUCUUGGCUAAGGUGUCUUGGCUAAGGUGUCUUGGCUAAGGUGUCUUGGCUAAGGUGUCUUGGCUAAGGUGUCUUGGCUAAUGUGUCUUGGCUAAUGUGUCUUGGCUAAUGUGUCUUGCCUAAUGUGUCUUGGCUAAUGUGUCUCGGCUAAUGUGUCUUGGCUAAUGUGUCUUGGCUAAUGUGUCUUGGCUAAGGUGUCUUGGCUAAGGUGUCUUGGCUAAGGUGUCUCGGCUAAUGUGUCUUGGCUAAUGUGUCUUGGCUAAUGUGUCUUGGCUAAUGUGUCUCGGCUAAUGUGUCUUUUCUAAUGUGUCUUGGCUAAGGUGUCUUGGCUAAGGUGUCUUGGCUAAGGUGUCUUGGCUUAUGUGUCUUGGCUAAUGUGUCUUGGCUAAGGUGUCUUGGCUAAUGUGUCUUGGCUAAGGUGUCUUGGCUAAGGUGUCUUGGCUAAUGUGUCUUGGCUAAGGUGUCUUGGCUAAUGUGUCUUGGCUAAUGUGUCUCGGUAAAUGUGUCUUGGCUAAUGUGUCUUGGCUAAGGUGUCUUGGCUAAGGUGUCUUGGCUAAUGUGUCUUGGCUAAGGUGUCUUGGCUAAGGUGUCUUGGCUAAGGUGUCUUGGCUAAUGUGUCUUGGCUAAGGUGUCUUGGCUAAGGUGUCUUGGCUAAUGUGUCUUGGCUAAGGUGCCUUGGCUAAGGUGUCUUGGCUUAUGUGUCUUGGCUAAUGUGUCUUGGCUAAGGUGUCUUGGCUAAUGUGUCUUGGCUAAGGUGUCUUGGCUAAUGUGUCUUGGCUAAGGUGUCUUGGCUAAUGUGUCUUGGCUAAUGUGUCUUGGCUAAGGUGUCUUGGCUAAUGUGUCUUGGCUAAGGUGUCUUGGCUAAUGUGUCUUGGCUAAUGUGUCUCGACUAAUGUGUCUUGGCUUAUGUGUCUUGGCUAAGGUGUCUUGGCUAAAGUGUCUUGGCUAAGGUGUCUUGGCUAAGGUGUCUUGGCUAAGGUGUCUUGGCUAAUGUGUCUUGGCUAAUGUGUCUUGGCUAAGGUGUCUUGGCUAAGGUGUCUUGGCUAAUGUGUCUUGGCUAAGGUGUCUUGGCUAAGGUGUCUUGGCUAAGGUGUCUUGGCUAAUGUGUCUUGGCUAAUGUGUCUUGGCUAAUGUGGCUUGGCUAAGGUGUCUUGGCUAAGGUGUCUUGGCUAAUGUGUCUUGGCUAAGGUGUCUUGGCUAAUGUGUCUUGGCUAAUGUGUCUUGGCUAAUGUGUCUUGGCUAAGGUGUCUUGGCUAAUGUGUCUUGGCUAAUGUGUCUCGGCUAAUGUGUCUUUUCUAAUGUGUCUUGGCUAAGGUGUCUUGGCUAAGGUGUCUUGGCUAAAGUGUCUUGGCUAAGGUGUCUUGGCUAAGGUGUCUUGGCUAAGGUGUCUUGGCUAAUGUGUCUUGGCUAAUGUGUCUUGGCUAAGGUGUCUUGGCUAAUGUGUCUUGGCUAAUGUGUCUUGGCUAAUGUGUCUUGGCUAAGGUGUCUUGGCUAAGGUGUCUUGGCUAAUGUGUCUUGGCUAAGGUGUCUUGGCUAAUGUGUCUUGGCUAAGGUGUCUUGGCUAAUGUGUCUUGGCUAAGGUGUCUUGGCUAAUGUGUCUUGGCUAAUGUGUCUUGGCUAAGGUGUCUUGGCUAAUGUGUCUUGGCUAAGGUGUCUUGGCUAAUGUGUCUUGGCUAAUGUGUCUCGACUAAUGUGUCUUGGCUUAUGUGUCUUGGCUAAGGUGUCUUGGCUAAAGUGUCUUGGCUAAGGUGUCUUGGCUAAGGUGUCUUGGCUAAGGUGUCUUGGCUAAUGUGUCUUGGCUAAUGUGUCUUGGCUAAGGUGUCUUGGCUAAGGUGUCUUGGCUAAUGUGUCUUGGCUAAGGUGUCUUGGCUAAGGUGUCUUGGCUAAGGUGUCUUGGCUAAUGUGUCUUGGCUAAUGUGUCUUGGCUAAGGUGGCUUGGCUAAGGUGUCUUGGCUAAGGUGUCUUGGCUAAGGUGUCUUGGCUAAGGUGUCUUGGCUAAUGUGUCUUGGCUAAUGUGUCUUGGCUAAUGUGUCUUGGCUAAGGUGUCUUGGCUAAUAUGUCUUGGCUAAUGUGUCUCGGCUAAUGUGUCUUUUCUAAUGUGUCUUGGCUAAUGUGUCUUGGCUAAGGUGUCUUGGCUAAGGUGUCUUGGCUAAGGUGUCUUGGCUAAUGUGUCUUGGCUAAGGUGUCUUGGCUAAGGUGUCUUGGCUAAUGUGUCUUGGCUAAGGUGCCUUGGCUAAGGUGUCUUGGCUAAGGUGUCUUGGCUAAUGUGUCUUGGCUAAUGUGUCUUGGCUAAUGUGUCUUGGCUAAUGUGUCUUGGCUAAGGUGUCUUGGCUAAGGUGUCUUGGCUAAUGUGUCUUGGCUAAGGUGUCUUGGCUAAUGUGUCUUGGCUAAGGUGUCUUGGCUAAUGUGUCUUGGCUAAGGUGUCUUGGCUAAUGUGUCUUGGCUAAUGUGUCUUGGCUAAGGUGUCUUGGCUAAUGUGUCUUGGCUAAGGUGUCUUGGCUAAUGUGUCUUGGCUAAUGUGUCUCGACUAAUGUGUCUUGGCUUAUGUGUCUUGGCUAAGGUGUCUUGGCUAAAGUGUCUUGGCUAAGGUGUCUUGGCUAAGGUGUCUUGGCUAAGGUGUCUUGGCUAAUGUGUCUUGGCUAAUGUGUCUUGGCUAAGGUGUCUUGGCUAAGGUGUCUUGGCUAAUGUGUCUUGGCUAAGGUGUCUUGGCUAAUGUGUCUUGGCUAAUGUGGCUUGGCUAAGGUGUCUUGGCUAAGGUGUCUUGGCUAAUGUGGCUUGGCUAAGGUGUCUUGGCUAAGGUGUCUUGGCUAAUGUGUCUUGGCUAAGGUGUCUUGGCUAAUGUGUCUAGGCUAAUGUGUCUUGGCUAAUGUGUCUUGGCUAAGGUGUCUUGGCUAAUGUGUCUUGGCUAAUGUGUCUCGGCUAAUGUGUCUUUUCUAAUGUGUCUUGGCUAAGGUGUCUUGGCUAAGGUGUCUUGGCUAAGGUGUCUUGGCUAAUGUGUCUUGGCUAAUGUGUCUUGGCUAAUGUGUCUUGGCUAAGGUGUCUUGGCUAAGGUGUCUUGGCUAAUGUGUCUUGGCUAAGGUGUCUUGGCUAAGGUGUCUUGGCUAAGGUGUCUUGGCUAAUGUGUCUUGGCUAAUGUGUCUUGGCUAAUGUGUCUUGGCUAAUGUGUCUUGGCUAAGGUGUCUUGGCUAAUGUGUCUUGGCUAAGGUGUCUUGGCUAAGGUGUCUUGGCUAAGGUGUCUUGGCUAAUGUGUCUUGGCUAAUGUGUCUUGGCUAAGGUGUCUUGGCUAAUGUGUCUUGGCUAAUGUGUCUCGACUAACGUGUCUUGGCUAAUGUGUCUUGGCUAAGGUGUCUUGGCUAAGGUGUCUUGGCUAAUGUGUCUUGGCUUAUGUGUCUUGGCUAAUGUGUCUUGGCUAAGGUGUCUUGGCUAAGGUGUCUUGGCUAAGGUGUCUUGGCUAAGGUGUCUUGGCUAAUGUGUCUUGGCUAAGGUGUCUUGGCUAAUGUGUCUUGGCUAAUGUGUCUUGGCUAAGGUGUCUUGGCUAAUGUGUCUUGGCUAAGGUGUCUUGGCUAAUGUGUCUUGGCUAAUGUGUCUUGACUAAGGUGUCUUGGCUAAGGUGUCUUGGCUAAGGUGUCUUGGCUAAUGUGUCUUGGCUAAGGUGUCUUGGCUAAGGUGUCUUGGCUAUUGUGUCUUGGCUAAUGUGUCUCGGCUAAUGUGUCUUGGCUAAUGUGUCUUGGCUAAUGUGUCUUGGCUAAGGUGUCUUGCCUAAGGUGUCUUGGCUAAGGUGUCUUGGCUAAUGUGUCUUGGCUAAUGUGUCUUGGCUAAUGUGUCUUGGCCAAGGUGUCUUGGCUAAUGUGUCUUGGCUAAGGUGUCUUGGCUAAUGUGUCUUGGCUAAUGUGUCUUGGCUAAGGUGUCUUGGCUAAUGUGUCUUGGCUAAUGUGUCUCGGCUAAUGUGUCUUGGCUAAUGUGUCUUGGCUAAGGUGUCUUGGCUAAUGUGUCUUGGCUAAUGUGUCUUGGCUAAGGUGUCUUGGCUAAUGUGUCUUGGCUAAUGUGUCUCGGCUAAUGUGUCUUGGCUAAUGUGUCUUGGCUAAGGUGUCUUGGCUAAUGUGUCUUGGCUAAUGUGUCUUGGCUAAGGUGUCUUGGCUAAGGUGUCUUGGCUAAUGUGUCUUGGCUAAUGUGUCUCGGCUAAUGUGUCUUGGCUAAUGUGUCUUGGCUAAGGUGUCUUGGCUAAGGUGUCUUGGCUAAUGUGUCUUGGCUAAGGUGUCUUGGCUAAUGUGUCUUGGCUAAUGUGUCUUGGCUAAGGUGUCUUGGCUAAUGUGUCUUGGCUAAUGUGUCUUGGCUAAUGUGUCUUGGCUAAGGUGUCUUGGCUAAUGUGUCUUGGCUAAGGUGUCUUGGCUAAGGUGUCUUGGCUAAUGUGUCUUGGCUAAGGUGUCUUGGCUAAUGUGUCUUGGCUUAUGUGUCUCGGCUAAUGUGUCUUGGCUAAUGUGUCUUGGCUAAGGUGUCUUGGCUAAGGUGUCUUGGCUAAGGUGUCUCGGCUAAUGUGUCUUGGCUAAUGUGUCUUGGCUAAUGUGUCUUGGCUAAGGUGUCUUGGCUAAGGUGUCUUGGCUAAUGUGUCUUGGCUAAUGUGUCUCGGCUAAUGUGUCUUGGCUAAUGUGUCUUAGCUAAUGUGUCUUGGCUAAGGUGUCUUGGCUAAGGUGUCUUGGCUAAUGUGUCUUGGCUAACGUGUCUUGGCUAAUGUGUCUUGGCUAAUGUGUCUUGGCUAAGGUGUCUUGGCUAAUGUGUCUUGGCUAAUGUGUCUUGGCUAAUGUGUCUUGGCUAAGGUGUCUUGGCUAAGGUGUCUUGGCUAAUGUGUCUUGGCUAAGGUGUCUUGGCUAAGGUGUCUUGGCUAAGGUGUCUUGGCUAAUGUGUCUUGGCUAAUGUGUCUUAGCUAAUGUGUCUUAGCUAAUGUGUCUUGGCUAAGG